rnacentral:rRNA from 1 species
AGAACGAACGCUGGCGGCAGGCCUAACACAUGCAAGUCGAGCGAACCCUUCGGGGCAGCGGCGGACGGGUGAGUAACGCGUGGGAACCUGUCCUUUGGUGGGGGGAUAACACCGGGAAACUGGUGCUAAUACCGCAUACGCCCGGCAAAGGGGAAAGAUUUAUCGCCAAAGGGUGGGCCCGCGUCCGAUUAGGUAGUUGGUGAGGUAAAGGCUCACCAAGCCUUCGAUCGGUAGCUGGUCUGAGAGGAUGAUCAGCCACACUGGGACUGAGACACGGCCCAGACUCC